rnacentral:rRNA from 1 species
GGCAACCCCGUCUGGAAUGAGGCGUAUGCUAAAUGCUACGGCGCCGAAGGAUGUGGCUGCGGCCGAUUAGGUAGACGGUGGGGUAACGGCCCACCGUGCCGAUAAUCGGUACGGGUCAUGAGAGUGAGAGCCCGGAGACGGAAUCUGAGACAAGAUUCCGGGCCCUACGGGGCGCAGCAGGCGCGAAACCUUUACACUGCACGCCAGUGCGAUAAGGGGAUCCCAAGUGCGCAGGCAUAGAGCCUGUGCUUUUGUACACUGUAGGGACGUGUACGAACAAGGGCUGGGCAAGACCGGUGCCAGCCGCCGCGGUAAUACCGGCAGCCCAAGUGAUGGCCGAUAUUAUUGGGCCUAAAGCGUCCGUAGCUGGCCACGAUCGUCCACUGGGAAAUCUCGCCGCUCAAUGGGGAGGCGUCCGGUGGAAACAUCGUGGCUUGGGACCGGGAGGCUCGAAGGGUACGUCCGGGGUAGGAGUGAAAUCCUGUAAUCCUGGACGGACCGCCGAUGGCGAAAGCACUUCGAGAGAACGGAUCCGACAGUGAGGGACGAAAGCUAGGGUCUCGAACCGGAUUAGAUACCCGGGUAGUCCUAGCUGUAAACGAUGUCUGUUAGGUGCGGCUCCCACUACGAGUGGGUGCUGUGCCGUAGGGAAGCCGCUAAACAGACCGCCUGGGAAGUACGUCUGCAAGGAUGAAACUAA